rnacentral:lncRNA from 1 species
ACCUUGGUUAUUAACCACCUUAUUAGCAUGCUGAAUCUGAAGACUGCUAUGUUCACCAAUAAAAGGUUUUGUAUUUAUCAAGCAGAAGAUUGAAUUAUAUUGAAUAAUCAAGAAUUAUAAAAAUGGGUAAGGUUCCACCUUUUUAAGUUACUAAAUCCAAGACUUACAUUGAUAAUUAUCAACACAAAUAUAGUGCUAUCUGAUUCUUAUACCAACACCAACCAAAUUUUGUCAGAUUUCACAAUAGAUCUCCAGUAAAAAAGACUAACAGAUACAACCUCAUGGCCAUAAUGCCAUAUAUACCAGAUAGAUAUUAUAAGAAACAGUUUAGACUCCAAAGAGUUGGU